rnacentral:rRNA from 1 species
UACAGAGGUCUCAAGCGUUGUUCGGAUUCAUUGGGCGUAAAGGGUGCGUAGGCGGCGCGGUAAGUCGGGUGUGAAAUCUCGGAGCUUAACUCCGAAACUGCAUUCGAUACUGCCGUGCUUGAGGACUGGAGAGGAGACUGGAAUUUACGGUGUAGCGGUGAAAUGCGUAGAUAUCGUAAGGAAGACCAGUGGCGAAGGCGGGUCUCUGGACAGUUCCUGACGCUGAGGCACGAAAGCGUGGGUAGCGAACGGG